CCACCUGACCCCAUGCCGAACUCAGAAGUGAAACGCCGUAGCGCCGAUGGUAGUGUGGGGUCUCCUCAUGCGAGAGUAGGGAACUGCCAGGCA
rnacentral:rRNA from 1 species